rnacentral:lncRNA from 1 species
GACUGCAGCUGAGGCCCUCACAGAGUCCAGACUCCGCGCUACCUGUGGCCCCCCACAUAUGCUCAGCAGCCCUUACUGUGCCUUAGGCUUGGGAACCUGAAAGAGCCCAUCCUCGUACACACACGCGUCCGUAGUGAGGGGAGGAGAUGAAUCACGAGGCUGUGAAUCUGGAGAGGCAUCGGGCCUGUAGCAGCCCGGGGCAGAUGCCUGACCCAGUCUAGAAGGCGGAGGAAUGCUCCCUGGGAGAGUGAAAGAAUGCCCGCCUGCCCUUUCGCGUGGACCCUCAGUAAAUGCUGGCCCGGUGACGUGAUACACUGUAAUUCAAGGUGCUACCAGAAGAGGGCGUCUGGAAGUCAUCCGCUCCUGGCCCACUCCCUCCAGCUCCCACUUGCCUCUCCUGGGAACCUGUAGUCAGGACCAAGCCAGCCUGGGCAAGAUCCAACUUGUCAGGUGUCCCUCUGCUUUUGAGAAAAGCUUGUCCUAAUCUCUUCUUGGGAGCACUGGGUGGUGGGGUGGGGGUAGGGGGAAGGGGAGGUUCAGCCUCAAGCCGGAAGCUGCCUGGCUCAGCCAAGGGCUCUGUCCCUGAAGUCAAGAGUGAAUGGCACCUGCUGGUCGCUGGAGUCCCAGCAGCUCUGGGACCGGGUAGGCCAGAUGGGGUGCUCCUUGAACCCCUUAUUACUCAGGCCUGAAUGGUCCCCAAGAAGCAGGGGGUUCCCAGCCCAACCCACCAUCUCCAGUCCCUGCAUUCCCCUGGACAGGCUCCCAGAGGCCCACAAAGGCCCUCAGAUGGAAUUCUGGGCCAUGCACCGCUGUGCCCUGGGCCCACGGCCUGCUGGCUCUAGGCACUACAAGUCCCUGGCCCUCCCCUGUAGGCCUUUGUCCACUGUCCUGGCUCCUGGCUAGCAGCACAUUUGCCAAGGGAGGGGAGGGGCAAACCUGGAUCCGUUGCAGCCUCCCUUCCCCGAUGCUCCAUUUUGCUUUCCCACCUCUCACUUGCUGGUCCUCCCAGACAGGGGCUGUCCCGUGGGAAGGGUCUUUCCUCUCCCCCGCACAGGUUUUAGGUCCUAUUUCCAGACAACACGAUGAGGUUCUAAGGA